GAGAUGUUGGGUUAAGUCCCGCAACGAGCGCAACCCUCGUCCUUAGUUGCCAUCACUUAAUGGUGGGAACUCUAAGGAGACUGCCGGUGACAAACCGGAAGAAGGUGGGGAUGACGUCAAGUCAUCAUGGCCCUUACGGCCGGGGCUACACACGUACUACAAUGGUGGGGACAGAGGGCAGCAACACCGCUUGGUGGAGCCAAUCCCAAAAACCCUAUCCCAGUCCGGAUUGCACUCUGCAACUCCACUGCGUGAAAUCGGAUUCUCUAGUAAUCGCAAAUCACCAUUGCUGCGGAAAAUCCUUUCCCGGGUCUUGUACACACCG
rnacentral:rRNA from 1 species